rnacentral:rRNA from 1 species
GGGUUGUGAGGUUAAGCGACUAAGCGUACACGGUGGAUGCCCUGGCAGUCAGAGGCGAUGAAGGGCGUGCUAAUCUGCGAUAAGCGCCGGUAAGGUGAUAUGAACCGUUAUAACCGGCGAUACCCGAAUGGGGAAACCCAGUGUGAUUCGUCACACUAUCAUUAACUGAAUCCAUAGGUUAAUGAGGCGAACCGGGGGAACUGAAACAUCUAAGUACCCCGAGGAAAAGAAAUCAACCGAGAUUCCCCCAGUAGCGGCGAGCGAACGGGGAGGAGCCCAGAGCCUGAAUCAGCAUGUGUGUUAGUGGAAGCGUCUGGAAAGGCGCGCGAUACAGGGUGACAGCCCCGUACACAAAAGCGCAUGUGCUGUGAGCUCGAUGAGUAGGGCGGGACACGUGGUAUCCUGUCUGAAUAUGGGGGGACCAUCCUCCAAGGCUAAAUACUCCUGACUGACCGAUAGUGAACCAGUACCGUGAGGGAAAGGCGAAAAGAACCCCGGCGAGGGGAGUGAAAAAGAACCUGAAACCGUGUACGUACAAGCAGUGGGAGCACAGGUUUACCUGUGUGACUGCGUACCUUUUGUAUAAUGGGUCAGCGACUUAUAUUCUGUAGCAAGGUUAACCGAAUAGGGGAGCCGGAGGGAAACCGAGUCUUAACCGGGCGUUAAGUUGCAGGGUAUAGACCCGAAACCCGGUGAUCUAGCCAUGGGCAGGUUGAAGGUUGGGUAACACUAACUGGAGGACCGAACCGACUAAUGUUGAAAAAUUAGCGGAUGACCUGUGGCUGGGGGUGAAAGGCCAAUCAAACCGGGAGAUAGCUGGUUCUCCCCGAAAGCUAUUUAGGUAGCGCCUCGUGAAUUCAUCUCCGGGGGUAGAGCACUGUUUCGGCUAGGGGGCCAUCCCGGCUUACCAACCCGAUGCAAACUGCGAAUACCGGAGAAUGUUAUCACGGGAGACACACGGCGGGUGCUAACGUCCGUCGUGAAGAGGGAAACAACCCAGACCGCCAGCUAAGGUCCCAAAGUCAUGGUUAAGUGGGAAACGAUGUGGGAAGGCCCAGACAGCCAGGAUGUUGGCUUAGAAGCAGCCAUCAUUUAAAGAAAGCGUAAUAGCUCACUGGUCGAGUCGGCCUGCGCGGAAGAUGUAACGGGGCUAAACCAUGCACCGAAGCUGCGGCAGCGACACUUGUGUGUUGUUGGGUAGGGGAGCGUUCUGUAAGCCUGCGAAGGUGGCCUGUGAGGGUUGCUGGAGGUAUCAGAAGUGCGAAUGCUGACAUAAGUAACGAUAAAGCGGGUGAAAAGCCCGCUCGCCGGAAGACCAAGGGUUCCUGUCCAACGUUAAUCGGGGCAGGGUGAGUCGACCCCUAAGGCGAGGCCGAAAGGCGUAGUCGAUGGGAAACGGGUUAAUAUUCCCGUACUUGGUGUUACUGCGAAGGGGGGACGGAGAAGGCUAUGUUGGCCGGGCGACGGUUGUCCCGGUUUAAGCGUGUAGGUGUGUGUUCCAGGUAAAUCCGGUUCACUUUAACACUGAGGCGUGACGACGAGGCACUACGGUGCUGAAGCAACAAAUGCCCUGCUUCCAGGAAAAGCCUCUAAGCAUCAGGUAACAUCAAAUCGUACCCCAAACCGACACAGGUGGUCAGGUAGAGAAUACCAAGGCGCUUGAGAGAACUCGGGUGAAGGAACUAGGCAAAAUGGUGCCGUAACUUCGGGAGAAGGCACGCUGACACGUAGGUGAAGUGAUUUACUCAUGGAGCUGAAGUCAGUCGAAGAUACCAGCUGGCUGCAACUGUUUAUUAAAAACACAGCACUGUGCAAACACGAAAGUGGACGUAUACGGUGUGACGCCUGCCCGGUGCCGGAAGGUUAAUUGAUGGGGUCAGCGCAAGCGAAGCUCCUGAUCGAAGCCCCGGUAAACGGCGGCCGUAACUAUAACGGUCCUAAGGUAGCGAAAUUCCUUGUCGGGUAAGUUCCGACCUGCACGAAUGGCGUAAUGAUGGCCAGGCUGUCUCCACCCGAGACUCAGUGAAAUUGAACUCGCUGUGAAGAUGCAGUGUACCCGCGGCAAGACGGAAAGACCCCGUGAACCUUUACUAUAGCUUGACACUGAACAUUGAGCCUUGAUGUGUAGGAUAGGUGGGAGGCUUUGAAGUGUGGACGCCAGUCUGCAUGGAGCCGACCUUGAAAUACCACCCUUUAAUGUUUGAUGUUCUAACGUGGACCCGUUACCCGGGUUGCGGACAGUGUCUGGUGGGUAGUUUGACUGGGGCGGUCUCCUCCUAAAGAGUAACGGAGGAGCACGAAGGUUGGCUAAUCCUGGUCGGACAUCAGGAGGUUAGUGCAAUGGCAUAAGCCAGCUUGACUGCGAGCGUGACGGCGCGAGCAGGUGCGAAAGCAGGUCAUAGUGAUCCGGUGGUUCUGAAUGGAAGGGCCAUCGCUCAACGGAUAAAAGGUACUCCGGGGAUAACAGGCUGAUACCGCCCAAGAGUUCAUAUCGACGGCGGUGUUUGGCACCUCGAUGUCGGCUCAUCACAUCCUGGGGCUGAAGUAGGUCCCAAGGGUAUGGCUGUUCGCCAUUUAAAGUGGUACGCGAGCUGGGUUUAGAACGUCGUGAGACAGUUCGGUCCCUAUCUGCCGUGGGCGCUGGAGAACUGAGGGGGGCUGCUCCUAGUACGAGAGGACCGGAGUGGACGCAUCACUGGUGUUCGGGUUGUCAUGCCAAUGGCACUGCCCGGUAGCUAAAUGCGGAAGAGAUAAGUGCUGAAAGCAUCUAAGCACGAAACUUGCCCCGAGAUGAGUUCUCCCUGAGACUUAAAGUCUCCUGAAGGAACGUUGAAGACGACGACGUUGAUAGGCCGGGUGUGUAAGCGCAGCGAUGCGUUGAGCUAACCGGUACUAAUGAACCGUGAGGCUUAACCUUACAACGCCGAAG